rnacentral:rRNA from 1 species
CACGCUGUAAACGAUGAGUACUAGGUGUCGGGGGUUACCCCCUUCGGUGCCGCAGCUAACGCAUUAAGUACUCCGCCUGGGAAGUACGCUCGCAAGAGUGAAACUCAAAGGAAUUGACGGGGACCCGAACAAGUAGCGGAGCAUGUGGUUUAAUUCGAAGCAACGCGAAGAACCUUACCUAAGCUUGACAUCCCAAUGACAUCUCCUUAAUCGG